rnacentral:lncRNA from 1 species
CUGAUUCAAUCACACACUAACUUUUCCAUUGAAAUAUGUAAAAGUUAUUGAAUCUCUAUUUUAUAUGUGGUCGACUCGGCCUCAUUGACCAAUACUGUGAGAUUUUAUUUCAGGUGCCACAUGUCCAAAUUAUCAGGUUAUGGGAUGAUUAUGUCAAAGCUUCCACACAUCAUUCUCCUAACACAAAAGGCAUGCCAUGGCCAGUCAAAAUAUCCUUAGACAUAUACGACACUUGUGUUGUUGAGAUAAUUUCGCAGUUAUUUUGGCGAUCAUCAAACCCGGUUCGGUCAAACCGGAUUUCGGGCUUUUAAUUAGUCUAAUUUUAAACCCAUACCCGAUCCAUUUAGACAACCGAGUAGGACCGGGUUUUAACCCAUGUGUUUUCCGGGCUGAACCGGGUAAACCCAUAUAAACCCGAACUAUGUUUUUUUUUCAUUUGGGCUGACGGAUUUGGAGGGAAAAAUCUGACCCAAUACAACCCAAAAUGAUAAUAACACUACCCAUUGAAGCUUUUUGUGCCUCCUCCUUCUCCAAAUUCUAUGGUCAUCGUCCGUGAACGCCUCCAGCUUAACUGAAUACCGCCCUCAUUUCCCCUUACCUCUCCAACCCUCUUCUGUCGCGACCACCACCACCAGUACCACCACUAAUUCCUGCUCCUCCCUCAUCACCUCGAACCUUGAAAAGCUUUGCGUCUUCAUGUACGGCAACGACGGCACGGUUUACAAAGUCCGCGACGAUAACGAAAUCCGCUGCUAGAUCGUCCAGGUGAUGGAGAUCCUCCGCCGCACUGAUUCUCCCAACAUUGUCAAGUCGCACUUUUUCGUGAUGAUGUUGAUAGAUGGGUUUAGAUGAUGAUGAUUAUACGGGGUUGUUUAUUAUGGUGAGAGGCUAAUUGGAUGGGUUUGAUGAUUUAAUAAUAGAAAUGGGGGAGAGAAGGGUAGAUUAGGGAUGGGAGAUGGAAGACGUGAUGUUUUCCGGGUAAUGGGUAUUGUAUUGUUGAUUUUUUU